GCUUUCGUGGUGUAGUGGUCAGCACGGUGGGCACGUAUUCCAGAGGCCCGUGGUUCGAGUCCCGGGGAAGGCG
rfam:Stegodyphus mimosarum contig116196, whole genome shotgun sequence.